rnacentral:rRNA from 1 species
CCUACGGGCGGCAGCAGUGGGGAAUAUUGGACAAUGGGCGAAAGCCUGAUCCAGCCAUGCCGCGUGUGUGAAGAAGGCCUUCGGGUUGUAAAGCACUUUCAGUGGGGAAGAAAGCCUUGGGGCUAAUACCCUCGAGGAAGGACAUCACCCACAGAAGAAGCACCGGCUAACUCCGUGCCAGCAGCCGCGGUAAUACGGAGGGUGCGAGCGUUAAUCGGAAUUACUGGGCGUAAAGCGCGCGUAGGCGGUCUGAUAAGCCGGUUGUGAAAGCCCCGGGCUCAACCUGGGAACGGCAUCCGGAACUGUCAGGCUAGAGUGCAGGAGAGGAAGGUAGAAUUCCCGGUGUAGCGGUGAAAUGCGUAGAGAUCGGGAGGAAUACCAGUGGCGAAGGCGGCCUUCUGGACUGACACUGACGCUGAGGUGCGAAAGCGUGGGUAGCAAACAGGAUUAGAUACCUAGUAGUC